rnacentral:tRNA from 1 species
GCUGAUAUGGCUCAGGCGAUACCAAGAGCUACACCCUCGGGUGAGGUCGGCAGUCGAAUCUGCCUGUCAGUACCA